ACUGGGCGUGGUGGCACAUGCCUGUGAUCCCAGCAGCUUGGGAGGCUGAGGCAGGAGGAUCUCGAGUUCGAAGCCAGCCUCAGCAAAAUGAAGGCACUAAGCAACUCAGUGAGACCCUGUCUCUA
rnacentral:sRNA from 1 species